rnacentral:rRNA from 1 species
ACUACGGGUGGCAGCAGUAGGGAAUCUUCCACAAUGGGCGAAAGCCUGAUGGAGCAACGCCGCGUGGGUGAAGAAGGUCUUCGGAUCGUAAAACCCUGUUGUUAGAGAAGAAAGUGCGUGAGAGUAACUGUUCACGUUUCGACGGUAUCUAACCAGAAAGCCACGGCUAACUACGUGCCAGCAGCCGCGGUAAUACGUAGGUGGCAAGCGUUAACCGAUUUUAUUGGGCGUAAAGGGAACGCAGGCGGUCUUGUAAGUCUGAGGUGAAAGCCUUCGGCUUAACCGGAGUAGGGCAUUGGAAACUGGGGGACUUGAGUGCAGAAGAGGAGAGUGGAACUCCAGGUGUAGCGGUGAAAUGCGUAGAUAUAUGGAAGAACACCAGUGGCGAAGGCGGCUCUCUGGUCUGUAACUGACGCUGAGGUUCGAAAGCGUGGGUAGCAAACAGGAUUAGAUACCCCUGUAGUC